rnacentral:tRNA from 1 species
CAGAAAAUAGUAUAAAAAUAUAUAAGUUUUGGGGAUUUGAGUUGGUAUAAAAGCCUUUUCUGA